rnacentral:lncRNA from 1 species
UGUCUAGUGGACUAAUCCCUUUAAUGUUGAAACUGAUAUAGAAUGACUAUAUCCAACUUGUCAUGACAGCAGUGAACUGUAAAAAUGUGGCUGGAUCUUGACUGGUUUUACUGGUUAACCUGCUGAUUGGCUGGAUCUUGACUGGUUUUACUGAUUAACCUGCUUAUUGGUGGAGUGAACGUUCUGAUAACCGUCUCCUCCAAAACCAGCAGGUAAAGAGGAGUUUAUGUUGUUACCAUUAAAUAGUAAUACACAAGCAGAGAGUUUAAUAUAAUCUGAGUAGUUUUUUGGUUAGAAGCAAUAAGAUCUGUACCAGUUAGGAACAAAUAGUGAUUAUUUAUACCAUUAUAGUUGGUACCGAAAACGUAAUUAUUUCUUGAGAAAUGCUAUGGGCUCCAAAUUGGGUCUCAAAUUUUUUUCUAAAUGAUGUGGCAUCAGUGACAUGGAUUGGUGGUGUUGAUGUGCCUACAUGGGGGGUCCAUCUUAUUUGAUAGUCAUAUUACCAAUUAAAAAAUGCCACAUUUGGGAUCCAAUUUGGGUGCUGUAGCAUUUUCUUUCUUUCAUUCCCCACAAAUCUAUGUGAGGAUAGAUGACUUUGUUCCUGCCCAUUUUUUUUGCUAAAAUCAUAAAAAAGUCCAGGCUAUCUUUCUUUUCCUCUCGCAUCUUUUUUUCACAAAAAUUUAGAAUGUUAAGUGAAUUCCUAUCCCUUCCCAUUUAUUUCAGUGGCCAUUCAGGGGAAACUUAAAAAGUUUAUGAACAUUCUUGUUCCCCUGUCCUGGACUCUUGACCACGGUUUUGUAUGUGAAGUAACAAUAUUGGGAAAAAAUUUCGGCAUUUUGGGUCCCAGUAAUAAUUACAGUAAAAAUUGUUCUUUUUUAAAAUUAUGUUGCAUCUUCCUUGUGUUUAUUUACCUGCAUUGUGCCAUCUUCUGUUUUUAUAUACAUGUAUACCCUCAUGCAGGAAACUAAGCUAUCAAGUCUUGGUUUGAAGCUGCAUGAUACAGAAAGGUACACAAGAUCCUAUUGAUUAUGGUUUAUUAUGCUAGAAGAGCCCAGGAUCGAAACUGUGAAUCAGGAUGAAAUCGCAGGUUAUGAACUUUAGUGUUUACUUUCUUGUUGCUGGAAGUGGCUCUUAAAUUAUUGCUUCAGCUGUCAAUUUGUGCUAUAGAAGUUUUGAGCAAAUACUGUCUGCUGGAAGUAGCUCUAGUUUUGUUUACCUUGUUGCAAAAAGAGACAAUUUGUUUACAGUAGUUUUGAGCAAAUACUGUGCAAGUUCAGUGUUUUAUCAUGCUACAUGCUGUGAGUUCCAAGUUUCCUUGUUUUUCUCCCAAAUAUAAAGGAUUAUUAUCCCACUUAGAGGUCGUUUGGUUCAUGAAUAUCUGGAAUCAGGUAUAAGGUUUGUCCAUUCCAAACUCAUACCUUUAUUUUUGAUUUUUUUUAAUCUAUAUUUAAGUAAUGUAAUAUUAAUGUCUGAUAGAAAAUUAAAUUAAUAAUGCUAAAAUAUAUAACAAUACUAAUUUUAUUAAUAUCUGUAAUUAAUAUAAAUUAAUAAACUUAUUUUUUACAAAAAUUGUAUAUAUUGAUUCCAGCACUCAAACAAACAUAUGAUAUUGGAUAUGUUAAUGAUACCUAAAACCCAUACUAACUUAACCCGAUUUCUCAUUUCAACCACAUAUCAAACCAAACGAUCUCUUUGUAGACGUGGUUCGGUAUUCUCUGUACUCCAACAUUUUGAUCCAUCUUUCCAAUUCUUGAUCUAUCUUUCCAAUUCUUUGUGGGACUGUAUGAGAAGGUAUUAUAAUUUCUACAUAUAGAACUGAAUUUAAAAGGUGAUUGAAAUCUAAUUAUAUUAUCCUCUAAAUUUAGAUAGAAUAAGGUAAUCUGGGGAUUUUAAUCUAUCUGAGAGCAAAAGUGAUUGUGAUGUACCGUCGUGGUGAAGUUAUCAAUAUUCAUUAUAUAUCGGUGGUGAUGUAUUAUCAAUGUUCAACAUAUAAUACAUGUAUAUAUCGGCUAAAAUUAACUUUGAUCAGUCUCAAGGACAAAAGUGUGUAACACUCCGUUACAUGUGGUCGGACUGUAAUUUAAUUUACUAAAAUAGUAAAAAAUUAUAUUUUUAUACUUGAAAGGUGGAGUGUUUGUUCUGUCACUAACGGUGAAUUCAGAGCCUCAAAUACAUAUUUACUGCGGAAAGAAGUGGUGAACGAUAAAACUUUAAUAUGAAUCAUUUUUUCGCAAGAUGACACCACCAUACAUAUACAUAAAAAAAUAUAGAAUAAUGUUUAACGAUUUUUUCCCGAUAAGAUUUUCAUGUCGGGGCUCGGGUCGGUGUUAUUUGCAUCAAUUACUUUAUGAUGAAUAAGACAAAAAUCCUCAAAGUAAACAUCGAAGUUUAUUCCCCACCAACUUAGGUGUUUGAUUAUUAAUCUGCCUCAAAAAUGUAGCACCAAUGAUUUAUUAUCAUUCACACCAGUAGGUGAGUAGCUCCUCCAUGGCCCCUGCCUAAACUACAAACAAAACAAACUGAUAUGUAUUAAAAUAGAGUUGGCUUUCAAAAAUGGGUAAACCCAACAAAACUUGGAAACAAAUAUCUGUAUAAUUAUUAAUUGAGUGUUUCUGUCCCCUUGGCAUUUUUUAAGUGAAGAGGUCCACUAAUCCAUACAAAUAUUUGGAGUUAGUUGAGACAAGAGGGGCCGAUUAUAGUGUACAAGAUCUUGCCGAGGAUCUAGUGACCCACAUUAUAGAUUAUGCUCCUAAAUUCUCUGGUGCAGAGGGACUCAAACUAGUCCCAAAUUUUUAAUCGCAGUGUCAAUGUUAACAUGUGAUAUCGAUCAUAUAAACAGUAUUUGUGAUUUUUAUAAAUAGAAAUAUAUAAUUAUGUAAUUGAGUAAAAAAUACUAAUGUAUAUCUGAUUGUUAGUAUUUUUCGACCGACUUGUACUGAAUUUGUCAGUUUGANUCGACCGACUUGUACUGAAUUUGUCAGUUUGAUUUUUUUUUUUUUUUUGAAAUAAACGUACUUGCUUUCAUUGAAUCGAAUCAAAAAUUAAUACAUCAGAGAUAAACAAAAGAUAUUGAUCAAAUUUUAAUAGUUUGUUAGAGCAUCUCCAGUAGUGUCUUAGUGUCUUCCAUAUAAAUAUUAUAAAAUAUUGAAUCCUAGUGAUUUAGGACAAGAUUUUGUAUUUCAACUCCAACAAUGAUCCUUAUAAUUCAUUCCUUAUUAUUAUUAUAAUAAUAAAUUUGGAAAGAGAUUGAUAAAAGAUGGAAGGAAGAGAGAGAAAACAAGUUACAAUAAGAGAGAGAAAUGAUUUUUUUAUUAAAGAAAUCAAAUAAGACAUGGUUAGUGGUGCCUUAUUAAUAAGGCAUGGAAGGAGGAUCCUAGUGAUUUAAGGCACUUCUAAGACACUGCUGGAGCACUAAUUUAUGUCACAUUCCUUAUAAUUGGACUUAGGACAUGAUACAGGGAACCUGCUGGAGUUGCUCUUAGCAACAAAAGCCGAACGAUUAUUUGGUAGCGGAGAGAUGAUAAUCCUGCGGUCACUGACCAAAAGAUUAAAUCAAAGAAAUUACAGUUCUAAAUGCUCAAUAAAACUCCAUUAUCCCCCAUUGACUCCUUUUGAUCCAGCGGCCCCUUUUGUUUUUUCAAUUGUUUGUUUAAUCUACCCGAACAUGUGAUUCACAUGAAACUGGUCCACCCAGCUAAGUGCAUCACGUUACGUUCUAUCCGUUGCCGCUCAUAUUUUACUUUCGGGGUUUCACAUUUAGUAUCUUUUCAAAAGUUAAAACACUAUCAAGGGGCCGGAGAUUUCAUAUUUUACUUUGCAAUAUUAACAAAAUACAAUACAUGUAUCCGGUUAAAUACUUAUCAUCGUCUCCUUGCAACAAAGUAAGAUAACUAAUGUUAUAUUCAAUUUCAAUAUUUUCAUCGUCGUUUUCUAACAAAGAACGGUAAUUAGUGGAUAGCAUAUACAUAUGAUUCAUGAAGUCAAAAAACGACUAUAAAACAAGCCACAUUAUUGAAAGACGAACCCAAAUCUUGAAGUUCAAUAAUUUUUUUUUAAAUCAUUUAGAAAAAUAAAAAAAUAAAAUAAAUCAAAUCUUUCGCAAUACAUAAAAAGAUUACAAGGAUAAGCAUAAGCAGUAUGUCUGACGUACACACUUUCUGCUGAAAGAGUAUAGAAAUUACUGGGGAUUUGGCUUCAUCUGAUAAAAGUAGUGCGGAAAAUUGGAAGCAGAUGAAACAUAAUAGUGAGUUGGAGGUUUUAUUGAAGCCGGGGAUAUCACAUUGAUAGCCGGUGAUAAGAAUCCUGAUGAUGCUGCAGUAGAAUUUAUCCUCAUUGGAUUGGUAGGGACCUCACCAUCAUCUACUUGCCAUGCCCACUUCUGGGCUACUAUUGUUGAACCUACUUGAAUUGUUUUUCCUGUUGCUCUUUCCUGCGACAUUUUCACAAAAGUAAUACGAUCCUAGUAAGCCCAACACCUCGAGAUUUCAGAAAAAUUGAUCACUUAACAUGGUAUUAGAGCUCAGACUCGUGAGAAACUCGGGUUAGACUCUCUACGACUCCCAAUAUUCUUAUAUUUAAUUAUGGACACGAAGACAAAGUUAGACAGGUUAACUAUGAAAAGUGGAGCUCAGCUAAAAGUCUAAAGACGGGUAGUUCUAAAAAAUUACCUCAUGGGAGGGAAAGAAAUUAGGAUUUGCAGGGUUCCACAUAUAAGGUGGUUGUGAUACUGGCAGCCCCGUGAGAUUUGGGUUGCCUCCGGUUGCUGUAACAGCAUUUUCGAUCUGUUCUUGCACGGACGAGUAAUAUAUAGUAUCAUGCUUAUGUUAAGGAAUAAAAGGAAAUGAAUUUUAUGUGUUACCUGUGCUCUUCUAUCUUCCAUCAUCCUAUCAUAAGAAAUAAAUUGGAGAUGCCCUGAAUUUUCAUUUUCUUUCGGACCAUUUUCAGAAGACGGGGUUGAUAUACCCAAGUUCAGAUCAAGAUUGUGAUCAUUGCCUAUAUAGAUUUAUCCAUAUAAUUGAUGCUCACAUCACAAAGAAUUUGCUUGAUAAGGGGCAGUAGAGUGAAUUCAACUAACCUUCAUUGCGCCUCUCAGAGACCAUCUCUUGUUCAUAUGCACUAGGCUCAAAGUUGGUCACAGCAUCCCUUCCACUACAUUUGAUGGCUGCCUUGUCAUAAGCCCUAAUUUCCAGGAAAUACGUAAUGGAGAGAUGACGAGGGUAGACAUUUCUAAAUAUGGUAGCUUGGAAUGUAUGAUCAUUACCUUGCAGCUUCAACUUCACUGUCGAAUAGGCCAAGAUAAAUAUACCUGCAGUGAAAGCAAUGUCUUGAAUGAAAAUUGAGGUCCUCUAUCGUGUCUCUUCUAUGUUUUCAUGGUUAAACUAAGGUGGUGCGAAGAGAGUGAAACAAACAAUAGUUCCUCACUUUUUGCCAUGGAAUUGGCCCAUCCGAGCUUCCCAUUUACCACAUUUGUGAAGUGUGACACCUCUGUAUUUUGAGCUUCCCCUCGCAAAGCCUGUGCUCUGGCGACGGAGUAUAUGUAUAAACUCUUCCUUGCCUAGACUCCUCAUCUGCAAUUAUAGUAAACAAGUCUAAAUUCUUAGUCUUGAGUAUAUGGAAGGUGCCUCAAUUGUAAAAGUUACAUAGAUCAAACUCCAGAUGCAAGACCUUGUGCACAGGGAAAAAAAAAAAGAUAACUGGAAAAUGAAUUUCUGCAACUAACCUGCUCCAUGUCAUCUUCGUAAUCCCUGAGAUUAUAAUUGAUGUCUGCAUCAAUACCGCGGAAUUUUAUUGCAGCACGAUCAUAUGCUCUAGACCAUAUCACAUCAACAACCGUAAUUAAUUAACUCCAAAACAACAAUCUAAGCAAAUCAGAUCACAUAAAAAGGAAUCAGAGUUAACUAACUAGCAGAUGGAAAAAACAUAGCAUUACCUAGCUGCAGAAUGAGCUGUGUCAAAUCCACCUAACAUUCAAGCACACCAUUAGUUUUUGCCAUAAAUAGAAAACUAACAAUGAAAUUUCAGAUAAAUUUUAUCAAUACAUACCCAAAUAUACUUGUUUUCCACAGUCCCUGAACCCAAAAAAGGACACACACAAAUCAAUACCUUUUCCAAAAUAUCAAUACACAAACUAGAAAAACUCCAAUACAAUGGACGCUAACCAGAUGUGAGAUUCCCAUCUUCCAGUCCUCCUGUAAAAAGUAACUCCUCUGUACUGUGAGCUCCGAGACCUCGGUCCACGUCUACUCUUCUUUGCCACAGCUUGCCUUUGAGGCGGAACUUCACUGACAGAGACACUGGAAAUCGGUUUAUCAGAAGCAAAGCUACAUUCUGCUAGGUGAUCAUAAUCUGUCACAGGAAACAGCUGCCUUGUCACAAACUCAGACUGAUUCAUAGAAUAGCCGUUUUCACCACCAGCAUUGCUUGACUCACAUCCAUUGUCUGUAUUUGAACUGAAUGAUUCAUGCAUUUCUUCGCGGUCUUGUUCAGGAGGAAUCAUGAUAGUUGCAUCAAUAUUUGUAAAACCGAGAUUAAGAUCCAACAUGAUUAGUCAAGUACUUUCGAGCUACUUAAUCUAUUUAACAAACUGAAAAUCUAUCAAUGUAUGAAGAUGAAUAGGAAUGGUUUUGACAUUGUCAUGAGUUCAUGAAUGCAAGAGAAAAAUUCAAAGUUAACAAGUGCUUCCUAGCUAACUCUCUUCUCCUCGUUUCUUAAGCAUUCUAAAAACGUAUCAUUGUUUAUUACUGUAUAAAGUAAGAUGAACCACUCCGGGUGGAAAAUAUUUUUAUUUAUGAAUUUCACUCUAUAAAUAUAAAAAUAUAUUCAUUUGUCAUGAUUGAAAUAGGCAAAAAUAUCUAUUCAUAAACUAGACAUUCCUUGUUAGAUUUUUUUAACACUUUAAAAGGAUAUAUUUAUAACUUUUAAGGAAAGUAUUGGAUAUAUUUAUAAUUUUAGAGCAUCACUCUCAUUCCUGAUUAAUUAUAAUGUUUGAUUUUUGAAUGUUCAAUCAAAGUUUUAUUAAAAUUUAUAUAUAUAUAUUAUUUGAUUGAAAAAUUAAAAAUUAUAUUAUCAUAAAAUAUAUCUAGUUCAUUUAUAAUGUAAAUUCCCAAUUUUUAGAACUAUUAAUAAUUAACUAAAAUUUUAAGAAAAAUUGGUCCGAGAAUAUGACACUGAUUAGUGAAGAAACAGAAGAAAAGGCUUUAUGACCAGAGUACUGAGUACAUGACGGGCUGAAUAUAUUACAUGGGUGGAAACGAAUAAUAAUGUCGGCAAACAUAAACAAGAUGCUCCUUGUAGAUAUGAUUUUAUAAUUGGUGGUGUACGAGGUUUUGGCCCACGAAGACGUGGACUCUUCUUCUACCAUCCAUGCAAUUUUUUUUAUAUUAUUUCAAGUCGUUGUUUUUCGUGCAAUCUAUAUAUUUAUAAUAUGAUUGGCAAAAAUAAUUCAAUUCUAUCAACAAAUUCAUAUAACAUGAUAAUUCACGAUUGUUUGCUUUAACUUUACCAAUAUUGUGCAAGAUUUUUAGAGUGUAGUGAUGCAGUACACAUUAAGUUUACAAAGGUGUCUCUUUUGUCGGAAUCAUGUGAAGCUUCGCUAGGAGACAAGCUUGUCUCUUGUUUACUAUUUUCCCAUAGAACUUUUUUAUUCGAUCGAGAUAAUGGGCCUGUUUGGCCAAGAGAAUCAAAAUCUACUUCUGACUUCUGCUUCUCUUGACCCGUUUGUGCAAAGAAGUAGAAGCACUUUUAAGAAGCUGAGAAUGCUAGCUUCUCUCUCACAGCUUCUGCUUCUUUUCCAAACACUUUAUUAACUUAUUUACUUCUCACUUCUACUCCACUUCUUUACUAUAACGAAGAAGUCACUUCUUUUAAGCUAACCCAAACGGCCCCAAUAUUAUUGUCCGACUCAAACAAGUUGAUAAUCUUUGUAGAACGAAAAGAAUUCUGAUACAUGAUUGAUUAUUAUGAUACAAAACAUAAUCAUUCAAAAUAAAAUUUGAACAAAUGUAUUCAAAAGUCAGAUAAAAAUAGGAGGCUGAUUUAUGUCUAAUAUUUGUACGUAUUUCAGUAAAUUAAAUUAAGUGCAGAAAAACCUUAUUUUGUUGGAUUCUAAAAUGAACCUGGCUAAUAUUGGACAUCGCGUGUAUCCUAGUUUGGGUGUUCGCUGAGCAAUCACAUAUUUUAUUCUCCAUUAUCAAAGUAAAACAUUGCUAUGUUCCUCUUGUUUUCUUACUUUCUUUCGUGUCUUUACAUGUAUCUUAAGAUAUAUAUAAUGUAUAAUUUCUUCAGUUCAUAUUUAAUACUUUGAAAUUAAUUUUUAUUUAGAAAAAAGAAAUAAUUUAAAAAAUAAUAUUUAUAUAAUAUUCAUGCCAAGUUCUCUAUCUCAAAAGUAAAAUAGUUAAGAAACACGGAUGAAGUAUCUCCAAACUAGUGUCCAUGUGACGGUAAUUAUUUAGAAUUGUACAAGUUAUUUUAGAUGUUUUAAAAACGUUUAAAUGUGGUUGAAUUUUGUUGGUACCAUACAUUACCAUACCUAGUCGGUAUUCCCGCUUAAAGUAAGUAGGGUCUGAGAAGGGUAAAAUAUACGCAACCCUGCCCCUACCUUUAAAGUAGAAAGGCUGUUUCCGUGAAGAACCCCGGCUUAGUGCACAAUAAUUAAAAGGAUGUGCGAUACAAUAUUACUACAAUACCUUAGCUCAUGGCCUUCUUCACAUGAGACUUACCGAAAUAUUACCCAUCAGCGGUGGCAAAGUCCGGUGGAGGAAACAAUUGAAGAAAUCAGGAACCAUCCCUUUCACGAAUUGCAAGGAUAAAGGCGUGUGAGAAAAGAGAUUGAUGCAAACCUCUUCCUAAAGCAUAACACCCCAACACUCAAAACCUCUGUAAACCACGAGAUCGAGUCUCAACUACUCUAAUACGCCAUCGCCAAUCAUUCUUAUCAAAUGUCAUAUCCCUGUAAAAUUUAGGGCUCUCAGUCCAAACUUAAUUGAUCAGACCACGUGGGACGGUGCCGACCUCUCUUUCUCUUGCCCCCGAACCGACAAGUGUUCAACUCUUCGAACCGUCGCUGAAUUACAUUUACGCCUAACUCUUGUCGGUGGUGGUUAAUAUUUAGAUUUGUUCAAGUUUAUUUUUAUUUUUAAACUAGUUGAGAAGCCGCGCGUUGCGGCGGCCUAUAAAAAUUAUAUUAAUGAUUCAAUAUUAAUAUUUGUAGAAUAAAAUAAUUUUGUGGUUGUCUACAAAAAGUAUAUUAAUGUUUCAAACUUAAUAUUUGUAGGAUAAAAUAAAUUUAUAUUAUAAAAAUCUUGAUGUAAUACCAAUACUAAUAUAUAAAAUUGCAAAAUUGGACUAUAAUUCAUGGUGAAAAAAUGAAAAUACGUAAUUAACAAUUUAAAGCAUGACGAAUCUUAAUUUUAUUUAUUUUUAUUUUUGAAAAGUAAUCAUGUUCUUACAUUGUCACCUUCCUCCAAUUUUUUUGGAUUGACUGCGCACAAAAAUAUCUAACUUAAAUCUGUGAGAUAGCGGUCUAUAACUACCUUCUUAAAAGUUGCUUGAACGGAGCAAACAGAUAAUGCAUGAAUAAUUUUUUCCUGUAUACAAAGUAAAUCAUAUAAAAAUUAACAAAAACAAACAUGUCAGAUGAACAAAACAAAUAUUAUAAGAGAAUAACCAACAAACAUACAUCACUAAUAGUUAAUUUAUUGAUAUCAACCAUCAAUAUCAUGCCAAUACUAUAUUCUUUUCCCGUGUUUGGAUUUGUCGACUCCAAUAUAACGGUCUAUAACUACCUUUGAUUGCAACAGCCUUUAUUUUUUUUAAUACUGUAAACAGCCUUCACUUGUUGCAGAAGAACGGCACCUCCGAGUUAGAAAUCGAGCAACAUAACUAUCACCAGAAAGAGGUAGGGUUGUGGUAUUGAGAGAGAGGAAGUUGUGUUUGGAUGAUCCAAAACCCUAUAAUCUAUAAGGGUAUUUAUAGGUGCAGAAAGACUUGUGUGCUAUUUAUAGGUGCAGAAAAACUUGUGUGCUACUCUUUCUGAUAAUUAAAUAAUCUGAAACAAAAUCAGAUUAAAACUUUCAAGCUACUAUAUUCCAUAAAUAAUUUGAAACAAAAUCAGAUUCUGAAACUUGCUUCUAAUAUAUCCGAAAAUAUUUUUCAUCCAAAAAUUCCAGAAAAUUAGAAAAAUAGAACGGAGCGAUGUGACUCUUUCCCAUAAUUAAAUAAUCUGAACAAAAUCAGAUUAAAAUUUUCAAGCUAUUAUAUUCCAUAAAUAAUCUGUCUUUCCCAUACUUAAAUAAUCUGAAACAAAAUCAGAUUAAAACUUUCACGCUACUAUAUUCCAUAUAUAAUUCGAAACAAAAUCAGAUUCUGAAACUUGCUUCUAAUAUAUCCGAAAAUAUUUUUCAUCCAAAAAUUUCAGAAAAUUAAAAAAAUAGAACGGAGCGAUGUGAGAGGCGCCACCUACACGCCCCUCGCGUCUCUUUUAUAUAAGUAUAUUGAUGUUUUAGAAAAAAUUUAAACGAUCAAGGCUGAUUUUUGGUUUUGAAAGAAUAUGUAUGAAGAACCCGGAUCAAAUAUAUCUUUCUUCACGAAAGUUGCUAAUAAGUGUAUUACGGCAAUCUUCAUUGUCAAACUAGGUAAAAAAACGCGCUCCGCGCGAUUGAAAGAAAAAUAAAAUGUAAAAUAAUUUAAAAGAUCUUUAUGAUAUAUAAUUUUUGGAUCCAUUUAUUUUGAAUUUGGUUUUUGAUAUAAUUUUUAGAUCUUUUUAUUUUGUAUUUGUUGUUGAAAUAUAAGAAGAUAUAAUUUUUUUUUAAAACCGUAACCUUCAGCACUUAAAAGAAAUAGAAAUGAACAUAUUAUCUUUUGCAAUAAAAACAUUUCGUUAUUGACUUCUAUCCACCUACAUCCAUAUCCAGGUUAAUUCUUCACUCCCUUUUCUCUCAUCUGAUACCAUAUUUUUUUCCGCAUCUCUUUCCUUACCCAUGUAAAUAGUUCUGGCGAGGGGGGAGCUAAAUGGGUGCAUUUGCAUGAAUUAUGUUCAUUCGCUAGCCUUAAAGCAAGGCAGUGGAGAUGUUUAGUUAUUGCUGCUGGAUGCGUCAUUUCUUCAAGCAUCCUAAAGGUGUUCAGAGACUAUUACAUCGAGUAAAAUUAAUCAUGUUGUAGAUGAGAAUAUACAGUAGAGAGAUUGAUUUUCCAGUUUAAAUAGUCAAAGACAAUUAAACUUCAAACUGAUGUGCUCCACUCUACUAUCCCUUACUUGAAAUAUUAAUCAUGUUUUGAUGUAGGAAAAAAGGUAAAAAGCCAAAAUAAACCAUUUGGGAACAAUAUAGAAGGCUUUGGAAGCCCAAGUAUAUAGUUUAGUAAGUUUAAUAUUAAUCUAGGAUGAUAUUCCAUAACUAUAUUAGUCAUUAGAAUUUGAUCUGUAUUAGGAAGUACUUAAGAUUUUUUUUAUUAUUAUGUAUAUAGGAUAUUAUCUUGUAAUUUAUUCAGAGUUUAUCAUAUCGGAAUAUUGUAUUAUUGUUCGCAAGAACUUUUGCUGGAGUUUUCUGCCCUUAAACCUUAUUUUCCCCUACCUCUCUUCAUGUUUGUUAUAGAUAAUAGAAAUAUGAUUCAACAAUAAGCCUCGACAACCUGCCACUUAUAUAGUUCAUAAUCACUAACUCCAAAUAAAACACCAAUAUGUCGACCACAUUUUGUGAAGGUAUAGAGGUUAUCACAAGCCUCGCGAAGAGAUAGCUUACAGCAGAUCUCAAGGCAUCAUGUGAAAGUAAGGCAACAUCGAGCAACAUGAAAUAUACACGAAGAGCUAUCCCAUGUGAUUAAAAACCAGACUUAACUAUUUAGAUUCAGAACACUGCGGCCGCUGCGCAGGUAUCCCACAAAACAAUAAAUCAAUAAACAACACUGCUGCGGUAAUACCUUACUUAUGUGCAACUUUUCGAUAAACUGGUUCCGGAAUAGAAAACGAUUGAAUACUCGCAAAGGGUAAACCAAGUGACCGCCUGCAUAUCAUCAAACAAAAAGGAAAAUGUCAAUCUUAAGUAACAUACUUAUAAAAUAAAAAAUGCACCUCAUGCCAAUACCACAUGAACUUACUAUGUUGAAAGAGGCCACAUGGGUAGAAAAUACAGCAAACUGGACAAUUUUGAAACUACGCGCAAUGGAGGAUUUGGGCACCAAAGUAGUACUUCCAUUAGAUACUGCCACAACAUUACCUUCUGCAUUUAGCAAAAGAAAAAAAACAUUACCUUCUGCAUUGCUCUAAAUUUUCCACAGGUGCACUUGCAAGCUCUUCACUUCGUUUCUGGAAACCAAAUUAUCAGAUUACAGACUGCAAAAUGAGAAAGGAAAAAAAGAAAGCAAGUAGAGAAACAUUUUGAAAAUAUAGUUAACUGCUGUACAUAAAACUUUCAGCCGCAUUUGUCUCGAAAUUUGAUUUUGAUAUGGAUCAUACACCAGGCUAGAUGCACACAGACAAUAAGAGUCAAUCACCAACUCCACAAUGAACAAAGGUACUACACACACGACAAACCAAAUGUUCGAAAAUCUAAAUUGAAAUCUUAUGCAGUUGCUCAACCUUAUAUAAAAUUAGGUAUACGAGUAGAGAGAACCUUUUAGUUGUCGAGUGAAAAAGCUGGAAAUACCGCAACAAAGCAAAAGCAACAGCUGUAUGAUCAUAGUCAUAAAUAGUGUAUACAUGAUUAUAGCUUUGAUCUGAAGAGACAAAGCUAACUGACUAUUAAAGAAGGAAAACUAAAAAGAUACAAAUAUAUAUGGCCAUUAUUAACCCUUAAGAUCUCUCAGCUCUAAUAAAAAAAAUUCUAAAAUACAGAAAUCCAGAAAAUGAGAGAAUUUGAAAGCAAGGAUCCUGGAGCAUGCCACGUCACCUUCCCAGGAACCUCCUUUAUAUAAAUAUAAGAUAAGAUACGUGGGAAGCCCGUUGAAAAGAAUAAUGAGAAGAAAUAUAUAACUGCUGUUUGAAAACGUACUAGAAACAUGAGUUAAGUUCUAUGGAGUACACAAAAACAUUGAAGUAUUGGAGUACGAGUCAUAAUUUUUUAGUUUGAUCAUAAAUAAUAUCUUUGAUUAUCCAAAUUUAUAUAUAAUUUAUCAUUUAUAAGUUGUUUUGCCCAUAAUUGUCUAUUAAUCAUUAAUAUCUUUCAACUUUAACAAGUAUUAAGAUUAUUAUUCUGCUUGUUAGUUAUAUUGCAGAGUUCUGUAAUUUAUAAAAGUAAUUAUUCUACCUUUUGAUUACAAUGUUUAUGUUGCAGAACAUAAUGUACAAGUUGUCAAAUGUUUACAAAUAUCAUUGAACAAGAAAAUUAAGUUUUAGAUGAAUAAAUUACAUUUUAUCCAACUUUGUACUCCAAUACUCCAAUAUUUUGUGUACUCCAUAGAACUUAACUCCUAGAAACAUCUAAUAAUCAAUUAUUAAUCACGUUCAAGUUUCAAUCAUAACAGAUACGACAAUCAAUAUAUAUGAUCCUUUCGUUAUGCAAUUGAGGGACAGCGACUCGACAUGCAUUCUAAUACUCUCAUAAAACGUAGUUCGAUAAAUUAUUUUGAAUUUUUUUUCUAUUGAAUAAAAAUUUGAUGUUCAAAUUUUUAUAAAAAAAGAAAAUUUUAAAAAAUAAGUUAUAAAAUUAUGUUUUAUAUGCACUUUAAAAUACGUGUCGAGUUGUGUAGAAAAACUGUAAAGAGAGGGGCAGAGGGAAUAUAACAUAUGAGAUGUAUUUAGUUGGAAUAUAUUUUCAUGUGUGAAAUCUAAGUGUAUUUAAUUUGAAUUUUAAAACAUGUGUUAGAAUUUUGUUGAGUGGUUGUCAAUCAAGUUUCAUGUCAAAGAAGGUUUUGUUUUCGACGGAUAUCAACCGUCGAAUAAAUCCAUCAAUAUAAAAAUUUUGGAAGGAGCCAAAAACAAAUUCGUGCGGGUUCUAACAAAUCUUGGGCUAUUAAUUAGGAUUUUAAAUUAUAAUUAAAAAUCUGAUGAUAUUCAAAUAAGAUUGUUUAAAAUUUAUUAAAAUAUGAUGCUAUUCAAAUAUUGAUGGAUUUUUUUUGAUUUUAUAAAAUUAUGAAAAUUAUGGGAUAUUUCAAUGUAUUUUAAAUUUUUUGAAAUUCUACCAAAAUUCAUGAAAUGUUGAAGUUCUGUACUUAAAUCCUAAAAGUUCUAUAUCGAUUCUGCAAUAUUUUAUCCAAAAUGGGCAUAAAAUCAAAAUCAGAUAUGAUACUAAAUCAGCAGAAAAAUAGAUAACAAAGUGAUAUAAAAAUUCUUUUAUUGUUCAGGUGUUUUAGAAUUUAUAUAAAUAAUUAUAUUUAUAUAAGAUAAUAAGUGCGAGUUGCAAGUAAAAUACUAAAAUCAGAAUUUUAUACCUUGGAAAGGUAAAAGACAACACGUAAAUAUAAUAUUAAUAACAAAUUAAUCAUGUCAGCUAAAUCCUCUUCUUCCCUUUCACCACAUAGAUCUUAACUGAACAGUGUUGUAAAAAGCGCAAAUCAGUCCUAAGCGGUGAGGUGACCUUCUACCGCUUAAGCGGAUAAGCGGACGCUUAAGCGGAAUUUUAAGCGGAUUAAUAAUAUAUAUUUAAAAUUAUAUAUAUAAUAAUAUUAUAUAUAUAAUUAAAAUUAUAAAAUAAUUAAGUAAUAAGAAUUUAAACAUAAAAUGUUUUUGAUAAAAAAGAUAUUUUUAAUAUUUUAUUAUAAUUUUCAUAAUAUUUAUAAAAAAAUAUUUAUAUUUAAAUAUAAAAAAUUAGCAAGUCAACAUCAUUCUGACCGCUUAAUGUCCGCUUAAUCCGCUUAACAGGCCGCUUAAUGUUAAAAAACGCUUAAUCUCCCGCUUAAUGUGAAAUCGAAGCGUUUUACCUUCCGAUUCCGCUUAAGCGCCCGCUUAGACGGCCGCUUAAUGCGCUUUUUAGAACACUAACUGAAUCAUGUUAUUUGUUUAAUUUUGGCCUUAAGAAAAAUUUGAAUAUAUUGCAUCAAAUGAUGAAGACGACUUUUAGAGCAUCUCCGGCAGCAUCUUAGCUCAUUCCUUAAAUAUAUAUAAUAUAAAAUAUUGGAUCCUAGUGACUUAAGAUAAUAAUAGCUAUUCUCAUCUCCAACAAUAUUUCUUAUAUUCAUUCCUUAUAUACUAUUUUAUUAUUAAAAGUUAUCAGUAUUGCAAUAGGUGAAGAGAGAGAGAACAUGUUUAUAUUCAAAAUUUAUUAUAAAAUAAGAUUUAGGAGAAGAGAGAGGUUACCUAAAGAUAAGGCAUGGCUAGUGGAAUCACUAAGAUACUGUUGGAGUGGAUUAUUUUCCCAUAUUCCUCAUAUUUUGGUUUAAGACUCCAAAUAGGAAGCUGCUGGAGUUGAUCUUAGUUACUAACAUAUCCUUAUGUAUACACCUCAGGAUUUAACAAAGCACUAUGUCGCUGAAACAGCACAUUUGCUCUUCCUUGUUCAGAAACUAUGGCUAAUUCUCCCAAGGAUACAGGACAUCAAUACGAAAAUAAAUUUAUUGGAUUCUGUUUCUACGACUUGAUAAUGGUUACUUCUCCGUGUUUUUCAUUUCUUUACACUUUUUUUUAUUACUCGACACACAUCUAAAAGCGCAAAUAAAACAUAGUUUUAUACCUUUUUUUUUAAAAUGUUUCUUUCUUGUAUAAAAAUUUAGAUAGUAAACUUUUAUUCAGAAAAAAAAAAAUCUAACAUAAUUAAUCAAACUAUAUUUUACAAGAGUAAUGCGUUCAAACAAUUGAGGGGAGGGAGUAUGUUUUUUCAAGUUUUUUCUUUUUUGAGUUAUUGUGUUUUUCAGAACUCACAGGACCCUCAGAAAGAGAGAGCUCUGAUGCCCAUGCUUAUUAUAUCCUGAUGUAUGUAUUAAUCCAUAACAAUGCAUACAAGGUUAUAAGAUUACUCAGAUGCAUCAUAUAUUCAUAUCCUCCUAAAAGCAUGACAUUAAGAAAGCCAACAUUCCCAACAACUUGGUCUAGAUUGACCGAUUAUUUAGCCAACUCAGAAAGUAAAACACUGAAGAUAUCUACAACACACAUCUAUAAGUUACUUCCUUCUGUAUAGCAUCGGCAGCAUCUUCUCUAAAUCUGUCAGUUUCCUGUAUAAGAUGAUUGAGCCAGCAAGAUAUCAGAGGGAGACAAAGUUCCAGACUGAUCGACAUCAAGAUCUUCAAACUGUUCCAUGAUUGCUGUAAUGUCUUCCUGGCAAAUUUUUCCCAUCUCUUUGAGCCUAUGUAUUAUGAAUUCAGCAGCCCUGGAUAUGUGAAAGUUAAACAAAUCAGACAAGGCAAGAGUCCUGUUCAAAUAUUAAGCACAUAAGCACCAGAUAGUCUCCUAACCAUAAUUUAUAUUUUUUGUCUGAUUAAUCCACAUGAAAAUAUAACUAAACGCUAAAACUUAGAAUAAGAAGAAUGAACUGUUAGAGGGCGACGGUGAUAGAUUUAUUGCUCACAGAAAGAUUACAUACCCAACAACUCCAUCAUCAUCAAUAUCAGCAGCCUCCAAAUCCACAUUAGUGACCUUUUUUGCGAGUACCAACUUGACCAAUGCCCUUUGUCUGAUUUCAGUGUUUACCUCGGCAAUACAAAAGAAGAGUUGACCUAAGCAAAUAGUACUCAUCAAUAUCCAAAAUAUUGCAAAAAUACGCCCAGCUGCGGUAGAAAAGCUCUUGUCCCCAUAACCUAGUGUUGUAAUAGUUGAACAGACACAAUAAAAAGCAUCAAUAAGGUCUAGUUUCUCAACUGUGGCAAGAAAGGCAGUCCCAGCAACUAUAAGCACCACGAGAGCAGACAGUACCAUAAAACACUUGUAUCUCACUCUGUUGGUUUCAAUCUCCUUCAGGAUGUCCAAUUCGCCAACCUUCUGAUUUAUAUGCAAUGCUCUAACUAACAAAAAUUCCUGUUUCUCUACUAAGUAGUCGGCUGCACUGCUUAAAGCCAGACAAAUUAAAGCCAUCCCAGAGAAGACAAACACACAAGCGAGUAAUUUUGAAGGUGUACUAUCAGGCACAAGAUCUCCAUAUCCAACGGUGGUCAUUGUCACAAUGCAGAAGUAAACAGAAUCAAGAAUUCCAUUUGUUUUCAAUCCCUUGAUGUGGUCUCUAACAAGGUAGAAGCAAAUGGUACCUGCAGCCAAGUAGAGGACUAGGAAUAUGAGGACUCUCUUCAGAUUUGGGUGGAGGUUAUCACGUAGAGACUUAGAUCCGGCAAGUUGGCUAUGGUGUUCAAAUUAUGGAGGGAUAUAUUCUGUUAACGGGAGGCUUUUACUAUGGCGGAACCUCCUCCUUGGUGGAACUACUUGAUUUAUAGGAGUUGCAGGGUCUCUCAGGCCUGCCAGCAGAGGUACUUUUGCACUAUCAUUGGCCAUCUCAGUGAUUACUGAAUGGUGAACAUAUUCAGUGGCCUGCAGAUACAAAAGAUUGAAUCCAGAAUUAUAAGAGAACAAAUGAUUUAUUGACAUAAAGCCAGAUUCUUCAGACUGUUAUAUAUACAUGGUUUAAUGUAAUAUGUAUUCGAAGAAAUCUAGAAUAUGUCAUUUAUGUCCUGCUUUUUUUUCUUCUUUCGAAUCUUUUCUGUACCACCUAUAUAUAAUGGAAUGCAUAGAUAGGUAGAGACGAAGUAGUAUAAUCAAAUCAAAACAGACAGCAUAUAAAGAUUCAGGUUCCUUUACUUGGUGAGAAUUGAAUGAAAGAUACAAACAAAUUUUAUGGAGAGAAAAUUAAAUGAGUAAAAUAGUUGAUGAACAUGGAGGAUGAAGAUUGUAGGAAAAAUGAUGAAGAGAUGGAAUGGAGCAUUCCUUUCAAAACAUGUGGGUUAGAAUUUUAGUUCAAAAUGAAAGAAGGAAUGAAAAUUAUAAACAUUUUCCCCUAUCUUCCCCAAAUAAUAGUAUAAAUUUCAUUCCAUUUCCACCUCAUUCUUCCAUCCAAGUGAACACAACCGCAGAUUCUUUAAUUAGUUAAUCUGAUGUGCUCUUCAUUUGUCGGAAUGGUACAAGCAUUAAUGUGAUAUGAUUUUUACUCUGCUUAUGCAAGAGAAGAAUAAAAGAUGUAUUCAUGUAGUGAUGGCUCCUGCAAUAAUAUAUAGAGUAUCUAACAUGAUUUCAGUAUAGCUGUAUUAAUUAUGACUACAACCAGAUGCAAUGACAUGAAAUAUGAGUCAUUCUGCAAUGCUAUUAUUAGUACCUAAAGGCUCACAACUUAUGAGCACCCUCGUGAAAGAGAUACUACAAGUACUCGCCAACUGUAUACAAGUGUUUCUAUGUGAAAGGUGAGUGAUACAUUUCCCCCCACCCCAAUUAUGUUUGCUCGCCCAGUCACCCGAAGUCUUAGUAUUAUAUCUAAGUUCUUUAUAACCGCAAAACAUUAACGUGUUAUGACGUAGGGACAUGGUAAUAUGGUGGUUUGGUUACCAUGAUAACACUAGAUCUAGUAUGAACUCCAAAAAUGGCAUGUUAAUGAGUAAUUAGACUUAUAUAGUUUAAUACUGUAAUUGCAGAGCAUAAUUUUAUUGCAACUAUGAUGCUAAAGUUGAAAGGAACCCUGUAUUUUUAUGACAGAUUUGAAGAAGUAAAAGUAAUAUAGAAAUGUGAAACUUGAAUUGACACCCCAACACAAGAGACCAUAAAGGAAUAACACGGGGUCAGUUUAAUUAUGAUCUACUCGAGCUCGACCCAUAGACUAGGAUGUAACUGAGUCAAGCUAUUUACUAUAUACUAAAUCCCGAGAAUAUACCGGAACUCAACUCCACAAUAAUUGAGUCGAUCUUGAUUAGUUCAAGUAGUUUAUCGGAUUUACCUCGAGUAUCAAAGUAUUUGACUCCUGAAGCAUUCAAGCACAAAGUGCUUUUAAUUUUAAUUCUAAUGGAACAUAUACACACCUUAUAUAAGAUAAUCAGACUUAAUUUGUGAUACACAUAUAAAUUGACUUGGACUUCCGAAUUUUUAGCCGGUCUCGGGCUUGAUAUCAUUUGUCGGCACGUUGUCCUUUUAUACUUUCUAUAUAAAGAUAGUAAGGUUUCUUGACUUCCCAAAAACAAGGACCGUAAAACAAAGGUCCCGGUGGCUAGCAAUCAGGUACUCGGGACCUUUUAAGUGACCUAUUAUUAUUUUUUUUGACCGUUGGAUGAACAUCCAGCGGCCAGGAUUAUAAUCCUGGUUGUUGGACGACCGUAAAACAAUAUGCCAUUUAAAAGGUCCCCAUCACAUGAUUGCUGGGGACCAGGACCCGUAAAACAAUAGUCUAAUCAGAAAAUAAUCAAAUAUAUGAUCCGGUUAAAUCUUCCUCCUAGAGGUUUACAGAGUAGUAACUUGACAUAUUAUUAGAGCAGAGAUCCCCUUUUCGACCCAAAAAUAGGCUUUUUCUAGUGGAGGGAAGUGUUAAAGAUAAUAUACGAUCCGGUUAAAUUCACCUCCUAACCCCUUCCACUCCAGGAGAACCGAUAACUUAUCAUAAACUAUUACAUUUGUACCACAUCCAUAUGUAAGUAAAGCAGAACAGAUAGGAAAUUAGGAACUAAAACAAAUGGACAGACAAAAUGAACUUAAACUUAAUUAUCUUCAUCAAACCAAAACAAACUACUCCCUCCGUCCCUCUCAUUUCUUUACAGUUACUAUUUUGGGAUGUCCCUCUCAUUUCUUUACGUUACUAUAAAUAGUAAGUUUUUCUCAUCAUUACACCCACUAUCUACCCCCACUAUCUCAUACUCCCUCUGGCCAUUUAAUUGUAUACGUUUCUUUUUCACUGCUCGACACGCACUUCAAUGCUCUUAUAAAAUAUAGUUCCAUAACUUAUUUUUAAAAUUUUCUUUUUCUGUAUAAAAAUAUAACAUUCAAACUUUUAUUCAGAAAAGAAAAAUCUUAAAAAUAAGUUAUAGAACUAUGCUUUACGGGAGCAUUAAAGUCCGUGCCGCGUCCCCGUCCCCCAAUGUAUAUAACUCAGGGGGACGGAGGGAGUAUUUAACAAUAAAAACUACUAUUACACCCACUACUUUCCUCCACAAUCUCACAUCAAUUAUUAAAUAUUGAUAGGUCUCAUCACUUUACCCACUUUUCAUCCAACUUUACUCAUUUUUCAUACAUUGUCUUGGUCUCCGUGUCCCCCUUCAAUGUAAACAAUUGAGGGGGAUGGAGGGAGUACAACAUAACAUCUAGAAUUUGUACGGGCUCAAAUCUCAAUGAUGCUGCUACACUGUAAAUGGGGGAAAACAUCAUAUUAUACAAGAACUACUGCAGAACAAAAACCAAUACGAAACUAAAAUAUAUGGACAUGUAUAUUUGAACAAGGAAAGAUCUGAGGUUUACCUGUAGACAGCAAUUUGAGGGUUCUUCUAUCUCUGUGCGGAAGCUCGGUUCGCUGAAAUAAAGUACAAAGAAGAAUUUUGCUAAAUACUUGAGGUGGCAGGGAAAUUAAACAAUGAAUGUAACAAUAGAAUGUACUAUCAUUUUGCACGUGUCUUAAUAUACACUUUGUCUUUCUAGUGGGUUUUAUUUCAGAAAACAAAUAGAAUUUUAUGUUUUUUUAUUAUAAAUAAAUUCUUAUUUCUGAAAAAUAAAUUGAUGUCGAACGGUCACAAUAUUUGUUAUAAGAUGAGGUUUUGUUAAGAUUAUUUAGUAACGGGCAUCAUUCUAAAUACUCGGUCACUUAAGGCACAAAUAUAUAUAAUGUUCAUAGUAUUGAUUUUUUUAUCAUAAUUUUGGAAAAUAAUGUCCCAAAUAUCACAAUAACAGUUGAAAACGUAACAUUGUUUAGUAUUUUCAUGCAAAAAAUAAUUAGAAACGUUACUUUGAGUUGGAUUUUCAGCUCGAAACGCUACUACUACUUGUGUUUUAAACAGAAAGAGCUACACGAUAUAGUAUUUCAGAAUGAUAUUUGAAACUGUUUUCUAAAACGUGAUAUUUAAUGCAUUGCUACUUCAUUUUGUGAGAAAAAGAUUAUUUUUAAGAUAAUCAGCUCCGAUAAGAGAUAACCGUUUUCAUCACAUAUUCUCUAUAAAAAUCAAAAAUGAUAUUAUUAUCAAUAUAUUUGAUAAAUAUGUCUACGAAAAAACAAUUUUUAACAUACUCAUGAGAGAAGUAUUGUGUAUGGAUGAAUGACAUCAUGUGUAUAUACAUCUAUAACCCGGAACAUGUUAAAUAAUAUGGAUUUUUUAGUGUGUGCACCAACAACUAAUUUUAAGUGAAACGAUAUGUCUUUAUUUACUUCAAUCAUAUUAAUAAUAAUGGCUCAUACAUACACAAAAAAUUUUAUUGAUCAAGUUCUUGCACCUGAGUGAAAACUAAUAGUCAGGCACACAUCAAAAAUUCAAGAUAAUAUACAUAUAUACAUCGUUUAUUGUUUUUUAAACUAGGAACACAUGCUAUGGAGUGAUCUAUGAGUUGUGAAGACAUUGAAUUAGUAAAUUUUGGAAAAAAUGUAAUGAAAUUCAAACUGUAUUAUUAACAGUUAUUUAUAAAUUUAAUUGUUUUUACCCAUUUCGAUAUUUACAUCUUGUAUUAAAGACCGCAUCCUUCAUUUGGAGAAAUUUAUAUUACUCCUUUCAUACUAUUUUCUCUAAACCUAAUCAUAAUAGGGUUAAUUAUCUAAUUGGUCACUGAAGUGAGCUUAAUAUAUCAAAUUGGUCACUGAAGUGAAAACGGUAUCAAGAUGGUCACUAAAGUCAUCAUAAAUAUCAAACAAGUACCUUGAAAUAUGAGUUCAAGCAGUAAAAAUAUUAUUUAUAGAAUUUUAUACAUUAUUCUUGAAUGCUAUCACAACCAAGUGAAAGGUCAUGACUUCUGAUAUUUAUGAUAAUACAUUUACAUUUUUUCAAGUUUAUUUAUUAUUUAUUUUUAAGUAUAACAAAGAAGAUAACUAUAUAAUAAAUAAUAUAUAAUAAAUAAACUUGAUAAAAUCUAAAAAUAUUAUCAUAAAUACUAGAAAUCAUAACCAUUUAGUUGGUUGUGGUAACAUUUAAAAAUGAUGUGUAAGAUUUUAUAAAUAAAAUUUUUAUUGCUUAACUUUAUAUUUCAAGGUACUUGUUUGAUAUUUAUGGUGACUUUAAUGACUAUCUUGAUACCAUUUUCAUUUCAAUGACCAACUUGAUACAUUAAACCCACUUCAGUGAACAACUAAAUAAUUAACCCAAUCAUAAUAAUUUUGCGCUAAUUCAACCAUUUAUAAACUUUCCUCCUACUUCUGUAAAUUCUAAUCAUUUUUAUUCAACUCCAUUCCAUUAUCUUACGAUAUUCUUAUCCUCGAUCCCACCUCAGGAAUACACGAAACCAAACUUUGUUCGUAUGCAAAAACUAACUGCAUCUAUUUUCAUGUUAGAAAAUGGAGGGAAACAAUUCAAUCUCGCGCCCGUCCGAUAUGUUGAUCAGAAUCAGAGGUAACAACUCAAACUCAUCUUUCAGCACAUUUCGAGAUCACUUAGAAAUUUAUUUCAGCUCAUUACAGUUUAAUUAAUCGAAAUUGUAGUUGAUCUAAUUAUACCAUCUGAGUAAUUUCAGAUUUUACUCGAUCGAGAAUCAAAGGUGUGUGUAAGGAACAAUCUUCUUUUGUUGUGCACAUUGAUCGAUUCAGAAAUUACUGCACGGACUCUUCUGGUCACUGGUAUGUCAUUGCACCUAUUGUACUUUCAAAUUCAUCUGUGCGUGCGCGUGCGCGUGUGUGUGUGUGUGAGAGAGAGAGAGAGAGAGAGAGGGGAUGUAGUUAUGUUUCUUUCAGUGUUUAAUUGCCUGCUUAUUACUCUGGUGAUGUGAACAGUGAAAUGACUAUAUUUUAGAGAUUUGAUUAAUUUACUUGAAUCCAAGUGAAAUGAAUGGUGGAAUAUACAUUAUUAUAAGUAAUUUUGUUGACCCUGUAGUCUAAUUAAUUGAAGUACACCUGUGGUGCUCUGUUAGGAGGUCGGCAAAAUUUGGAGCUAUUUGUGUAGAAUUGGAAUUUGGACAUUGUAUGAGAGUAAAAUGCGCCAACGAACUAACUGUUCCAGGCCUUUUGAUCUACAGGAGAACGAAUACUUUAGUUGGGAGUAAAUGAUCAUUUUAUCCUAUACCAAUUUUAUUUUAUGUCCAAGUGAAAGCAACCCAAGCACUAAUAACAAGCGAAAUGGAGUUUUUAUAUCAGACUUGUUAAAAUUUUAUAUCAAAUUUAAUGGAUCCCAAAUUUAUACUACGGAACGUGAGCUGUUUUUUGAUAGAUGAUACUGUCUUUUUAGUUGUGGGAAUUACUAGUUUAAGACUUUCACGUCAAAAGUUGACAAUAUUGACCUCUUAAAAAUUGUAGCCGAGUGAAUAAUGAUAAACACACUAGUGACUGCUCAACUUAGGGAUGUGUUAUGUUGUAAUGUUUUAACUUCUAAGUUACUUGUCCUUUUAGCUGUGAACUAAUUAUUCAGCAGUUGAUUGCAUAAGCACCAUCAGGGACGUAUUCAGGAUUUCAACCUAAUGGGGGCAAAGUGGAGGUGAUCGUGGUGCAGCGGUUUUUUUCUAAACCGCAAACCAAACCGCAUAGGUAGCUUAGUGGAAAAUUCGAACUGAUAAAACUGAGGUGAGACAACAAACAAUAAGCUUAAAAAAAAGAAACUGUUGCGGAGUCGAACUAUGGCUGAUUCCACCAAAAUCCCUUGCUUGAACCAUGGGGGCAAGUCCUCGAUUUGUGAAAUAUGUAUACUAUAAAUUACUAAAUACUAUGCAGCUCACUGGGGGCAAGUACCCCCACUGCCCCCGGUGUGCAUACGUCCCUGAGCACCAUGUUGUGUGGAAUGUAAGUGGUUAUUGAUGUGUGGGUGUGUGCAGUUGCUGCAGUUCUUAUACGGCCAAGGGAAAGGAGCUUAUAACACUACAACGUGAAUGUCAUGUUCAUCGGCUGGGUGAGUGUCAGUCAUGAUUAUGUUUGUAUCAGUUUCGUUAUGUAAACUACUUUACGCUGUAAAUCAAUCAGAGUUUCCUCUUUCAUAUCACAAGUUUUAGAUAGAAAUAAAAAUAUUGAAAUUUAGUAGUAUCUACUUUAUGCUGUAAAUUUACCAUAGAGUUUCCUCUUUCAUACCACAAGAAUAAGUAGGAAAAAAAAAUGAAAUUUCAGUAGAAGGUUUAUAAUGGCCUCGUCAAUUUUCAGAUGUCUUGCUAAGAGUGCUGCUGAUUGUUCAGCAACUUCUGCAAGAAAACAAGCAUGGCUCAAAGAGGGAUAUAUUCUACAUGCAUCCAUCUGUAUUUAGAGGUGAAAUUGUAAUUCUCCUUUGUUUUCUUCUUCUUCUCUUCGUUUGGGGGGGGGGGGGGGGGGGGGNNNNNNNNNNNNNNNNNNNNNNCUAGGUGGAUUGCUUUGUAUUUAUGAAUAACACUUUUAACCAUAUUACUUCAAUGUUUACCACAUUAUUGGUUUAAUUCCAAGCCAGAACUUCCCUCACAGAAUAUCUCUCACUUUAAUUUACUCGGAACAGAACAGUCGGUGGUUGACCGUGCAAUCAAUGACAUCUGCAUCCUUCUGCAGUGUCGCCACAAUCUGAAUGUAGUAUGUAAAAAAUUCCACCUGCUGUUUUUUCUGUUCUAUUGUUUUGUUAUUCCUGUUAUAGCGUGAGUAGUCGUCGUUACUUGAGGGAAUGCUGAAGAUGACCUCAUAAGAAAUGUCCAGUAAACAUGACUCUAGUUUUGCCACUUUGUCUUUUAUUUCUUUUCAGGAAGAAAGAAUGAUGUAUGCUAAUUCUUAGGGAUCAAUAUUACAUAACAAUUUUCCUCGAUUAAACUAAAGUGUGUCGUAUUAAACUAUGAAAUGCUAGUGCUACUCCUGUGCUUUUUAUCCUACCACUUUGUUUCCAAAAAUACUGAGGAAGCAAAAAUAAUAAUAAUUUUCCAAAACAAUUUGAAUGUCCUCAUGGUACCAAAAUUAACUGAUGUUGGUGUGAAAUAAAUUAUAUACCUUAGCCACUUACAAAGAUAUCAGAAAUUACUUGCAGCCAUUCAGGAGAACACAACACAGUAGGGUUGUAUAUGUGAAAAUUGUGAUUCCUUUCAGCUCUGAAAUAAACUUGACAUCUCAUAUUUUUGAUUUUAUGUUUACUUUUGCAGGUGUCUGUUGGGAAAGGGUAACAAUACUCUAUGAUUAUGCUGACAGGUUCUGUAUACUGUGACAAGCAGGUUACACCUCAUGGGUGUAGCUGACAUGCUCUUGUUCGAUUUAUGGAUAUGAUUUUUGUUUCUAAUAGAUUGGUGAUGGGAUGGCUAAGAUUCUCAGAAGCUGGAAGGAUAUUUGAUUGCAUUAACAGUCCCAAUUCUGUGAGAACAAGCAUCAUUAGUUACUACAACAUUAUAAAUAACUGAAACUGAUGAUUGUUUGUUUACUUCAGGCUCAUCCUGUUCCGGUGAACGUUGAAGAAGUAAAAGGUAUCCAUAAACACAAUAUCAUCAUCUUGAUAUGAUUUUACCAUACCUCCAUUAGAGUCUAGAGACCAUAUACAGUGAUGUUGAUAUACAAGAAUUGUUCUAAAUCACUUUAAUCUUUGCUUAAGUCUUCUUUCCAGAGUUCCUGCUGUUGUGAAGCAGGUAAUUAGAACAGAAUUGCGCAGCUUGCCUCUUAGCUAAUUUUUCUUCUUCUUUUUUGGGACAGAUAUCAUGAGUGUUGCCAAAUAUAUAUUGAUUGUAGAGAAAGAAUCAGGUCAAACAUUUUUUAGGCACACUGCCAUUAUCAUUGUUCUUAACUUAAAUGUAAGUAACUAUUUAAUUGGUUUAAUGCAGUUUUUCAGCGACUAUCCAAUGAUCAGUUCUGCAAGAAAAAUCAGUGCAUUGUCAUCACAGUAAGUGUACUAUUAAUUGAUUAAUUGCUAGUUGCUGUAUAAUCUCGAAAUACUGCUAACUUUGCUUUUCCAACAGGGAAGAGGUUAUCCAGAUGUUCCCACAAGAAGGUCGCCUCAUUACUGUGCUUGCAUUGUAUUCUUUAUACUUAGAAAUGAGCACAAUGACUCAAUGAGAAUACAGUUGCUGUGCGUCCGUCUGUUUUGGAACAGGUUUCUGCGGCUCAUCAUUGAAAAGUUGUGCCUGCCUACAUAUUGCUUAGUAGAUUGUGAUCCAUAUGGCUUUGACAUCUUGACUACAUAUCGAUUUGGUUCAAUGGUGAGGUUUCUCGUGGUUUUGUAGUUAUACUACUGACUGUCUACUGAAACUUAUUUGGUGCUUGUUUUAUCUAUAUUCUUAAAGCAAAUGGCAUUUGAUGCAAAAUUUCUACGUAUAAGCAAUAUACAAUGGAUUGGAGUAUUUAUUUCUGAUGUGGAUAGAUUUAGUCUUCCGCAACACUGUCUACUUCCUUUGACCAAUGAAGGUGAGAUUCACGAAUUCUGUUUGAAACUACAAUAUUUUUCAUGCUCUCUUCUUAAUAUUUACGUGUCAUCCAACGGAGCCCAGCGAAGGCCACUCUUUUUUAAUCUGUUCUGUGGCUCUCUUUUUCUGGAUGUUUAAAUUGCUUUUAUAACUAUAGAUGUUUUAAAAGAAAAUCUAAGAUUAUGAUUAUAUUAUCCAAUUUACAUUUGAUAGACAGUAGUUGGUGGAAAGCAAUUUCUAAUGACAAUCUGUAUUGAAUUUGAGCUCUUUUUGCUGUAUCCUGCAUAAAUUUUAAGACAAGUCGAGAACUGAAGCAUUGUUGCGUAGAUGUUACUUGGAAAGAGAAGUGCCAGAAUGGAGGUGUGACACAAGUUUAUUUGUAAAUACUUGUAACUGAUUCUUUCUGCUAUUGUUAUUAAAUCUGUUGGCACUGCAACCAGUUCUUUUUUAUUUAUUUGGUGUUGCUUUUGAAGGUUGGAGCUCGAGUUGUUGCUGCAAAGAGGAGUCAAAUUUGAGAUUGAAGCAUUGUCAGCACACUCACUUUCUUUCUUGUCAGAGGUUUAUGUGCCAUCUAAGCUUAAAGGUGAAUUGCAAAUGUAAAAAUCCUUCUUUUUUGCUGUAAUACAGUGUUUGCUAGAUCCUUCAAGCUCUUAUGAUAUCGUACUCAGAUAAUAUUGUUGGGAUCAUUUUGAGUCCUGACAAUUGUUCCCAGUCAAACCUAAAAUCGUAAAUCUGAAUUGCAAAUUGUUCACCCUGCUUUAGAGAUCAUAAAACAAGUUGUAGAUACAACACACACAGGCAUAUAUACAAGGCAUUUCAGACGAAAUAAAUACUAAAUUCUUAUGAUUGAAACUUAGCAAGUUCCUCGGCAACGAAUAAGGAGAGCCAAAACUAGUUAUAAUCUUAAAACAUAUAAGAACAAAGAAAAAUUGCAUCUGACAUGAAUCAUAAUAUAAAUCUCUGGUCCUCUACGCCAUCAGAAAAUCUUCUGUUAAUUUGUGUAAGAGAAGUCCAACCCUCCAAUCCUUCAAGCAGUUGAAAGCUGUUAUGAAAAAAAAUAUGAUGUCCUCAUUAAACACCCUUAUAGAAAGUUGAGGAAAAAAUCUAUAUGCCAAUAUCUAUAUAAAAUAAUAAAAUCAAUAUAUUUUCAACCCAGACUCAAUUUCUGAAAGAUGAGAUAAAAAAACAUACAUCUGCCAAAGUAUAUAUAGCAAUGUAAAAUAUCUAUAGUUGAGAAGAGAAGUUUACUCCUAUUCUUUUCAAAUGUGAUGAAUGGUUUUAGAACCUCGGUUUCUUCGAUGAUUCUGAUUCAAACGUCUUGUUCUCUCACAAAUUUUGCAGCUGAACCCAGUAUACAACAACUCGGAUCUGCAACGCAAACAAAAUGACCCUCCACACUUUGAGCACAACCUCUUGGUUCCAAAUCCCCUUCUAUCAACCGUGAACACUCCUUCACAAUCGUCAGACGGACAUUCAAUCUCCCGUGCAUUCUCCAAAGCAUAAAUUUCAGUCAAAGCAUUUGUCCAUCUUUCAUACACUUUUUCCGGAAUUAAGUUGCUGCAAAACUCUGGCUUCAAAACAGCUCUGCACUUGGAGCUUGGACACUUCACUUGUUUAACAUUUUCUUGAAUUUUCUUCUGGAGAUGACUCCCAAUGCAAUCUCCACAGAAUCUGUGAUGGCACUUGGGAACAUGAAUGGAAUGGGUGACUGAGAUCACAUCCAUGCAUACGUCACAACUCACACUUGAUGGUCCCCCUUUUUUUUCUUCUCUCCUUUGUUUUUUGUUACUCACUUCAACUCUUCCCUCUAUAACUGUUAUCAUUUGAUCAUAUAUCUGUUUUUGUUUCUUGUCAUUAACUUCUGAUCUUUCCUCUCUCUCCAUUGUUGUGAAUAUAGUAUUCUAAUUUACACGCACAAAUGCUACUCUCUGUGCUGAUGGGGUUUAGUUUAUGCUCUGGGCUAUGGAGAGUAUUAUGAUAAAGGUAAUUACUAGUUACCUUAUUAAUCUAGCUGGAGGAAAAGGCAGAUACCUUAUUGAUAUGUAUAUGCUAAUAAGAGACAUGGUAACAGUUAGUUUCUUUAUGUGCAGACUCUUUUAGUACGUGGAACUCUUUUAGAUAAAGAAUUCUGCAAACAAAUUUUAAUUUGGGUCAUUUGUUAACUCCUGUUCCUAAGAAAUAGUUUCGAAGUAACUUUUUAAGAUGGGCAUAAAAAUAGUACUAAUUAGAAGUUAAUUUUAGACAAAAUAUUUGACCGUUCGACUUGGAUUAUAUAUCCAAAAAGUCCGCUCUCGGUCAUUCCACGCGUUGCCUUGGGAGAGGCGUGGUUACCUGAAGUGGAUUCUCUCUUUUGUAGUAGAUGCCGAACCUGCUGCCCCAUUGAUUAAGAGGGGGGCGGGCGCAGCAGCUACAUGGACCCCUUCUUUUCUGUUGUUGCCGGCGCUUUUCCGGGCCGAGCUGGAAAUAUUUACAUACUGUAUUUAAUAUCGGAUACAUUCUGUUUCUUUGUUAGAAAAUUACUCAUUUUCUAAAACUGAGGAAUCUAGAUAAAAUGUUGCAAGAUAUCGGGUGAUAUUUCUAUACAUUUUGGUGGAAUUUCAAAAAGGUUAAAGCACACAAAAGAAUCGUAUAAAAUCUAUUUCUAGAAAAUCAUCAGGAAGUAUAAUUGAAUUUUAGUAAAUUUUACAUAAUCUUAAUUGAAUUUCAUCAGAAUUUUUAACAUAUUUUAAAAUUAUUAAAUUAAUUUUAUAAUGUAUUUUAAAAUUUUAAUUGAAUAUCUUGAAAUUCUGAUAUAAUUUUGAAAUUUUGAGUUGAAUACACGCAAAUUUUAAAAAUAUAAAUUGAAUACACCACCCCUUUAUUUAUACAUUUGCGCUACAAAUAUAUAAUAAUAAUUUAUACUAGACUAAAGCGCAGGACAAGCACGAUUCUAUUAAUCUAAAUAGAUAUUAAUAGUUUAAUUUAUCAUAAAAGUAUACCAUCUUUUUUGAAUUUAAUAUAUCAAUUCUAAUUCUGAAUAAUUUGACUAGACCCAUAAAUUAAAUUUAAUAUAUUAAUUCUAACUCUAAAUAAAUUGGCCAAAAACCAUAAAUUAAGCGAAUUAUAAAAUUUUAACAAAUUGGAGUUGAUUUAUGAAUGCAUAAUAUUAUUAUAAUUCGCUGAAAAUGACUUCUAACCUAUACCCCAUUUCUCAAAAAUAAAAAAGUGGACAUAUUCGUGAAUCGUGAUUUCAGUUUUUAUAAUACGAAAAACCCCAAAGCCAACAAAACAGCAAAUGGUAUUUCCGUUAAUAUAACCAACUCCAGGGGCAUAAACAAGCACCCCUAGAAUUAUUUAUAUAUCAAACGAAAACGACUUGAGAAACCCCGCAGCAUAAAAAACCCAUUCUCCCAACUCAUCUCAAUCUCUCUCUCUCUAAAAGGUCUUUCUCGCUAUCAUUUUCAUCGAUCGCGUCUCUCACAAAUCCAAUCAAUCCAUCAAUCUAUACAUACACACAACUGUAAGUAUAUCCGAGCUCGAUACGAUUUUUCGAUUUGUUCGUUGUUUUAAUCGGUGUGUUCGAUCCGUUUGAUUUGAUUUUAGAUCGUUUUGUGUUAUUUACGCAGUUUUAUUUGUUUGAUUUAGGUUCGCUGUGUUUAGUUUGGAUUGGUUGUUGUGUUGAUUGUGAGUUUGUUAGUUGUGUUUUCUUGAUUUUGAUUUGCAUGAUAUGAUUGUGUUGUUGGAUUAGUUUGAUGUGCUUUUGAUGUGUUUAGAUUGCGAAAAUGAUCGAUUUUUGGAUUCGCAGGUGUUAGUGAAUUUGAUUGCUGACGGUGAGGUUGCGAUUAUCUUGAUUCUGAUGUUACUUAUUUUAGUUUAGGAUUUUUGGCUUAAAGUUUUUGGAAAUUUGAAUUUAUUUUUUUUAGGUUUUUUAUUUGCUAAGCUUUGUGUAGCAAACUAGCAAUCAAUAUAUUUGUAAAAAUAAUUUUUUUUAAAUAUAAUUGAGCUUUUUAGAGGACAGGGUGAUCUGUUUGAAUCUUUGUUUGUUUAGAACUGAUAUAAGUAUAUUUAUUUAUACGUCUUGAAAGAUAUUGAGCUGUUUUUGUUUGGAGUUGUGAUAACUCGGAAGUUGUCAAUUUUGUUGCUUUUUCUAAUCAUUUUUAGGGUUUCUAGAGUUUAAUAUCUGAUUAUGAAACUGUGUUGAGUAUCUGCGAUUUUUAAUGUAUAGGCAAUCAUGAGCAACGAGGGAGAAAAGACUUGCCCUCUCUGUGCUGAAGAGAUGGAUUUGACUGAUCAGCAGUUGAAGCCAUGCAAGUGUGGUUAUGAGGUCAGAAAUCUUAUUUACACGUUUCUUUGUUAAAUUUUUGCAGCAAAAUACUUAGUCUGAUUAGCUUUUGGUAGGAUAAUAUUCAUUUUUAUUUGAUUCUGUACUCUUAUGGAGUCAUUGUAAUAUGCUAAAUCAGUGUCAAAUAUUAUGGCUGAUGUUUUUGCAUUAUGUGGAAAUGUUUUUCCAUUUUAAAAUUCUUAUUAUAUUGAAAGCUCUUGAAUUUCUUUUUAUCUAUAUUAUUUGCGAACUGCCAUCAGAUUUUGAAUUAAUAAAACAUCUCUACCCAGCUCUUGAAACAGACAAAAAGCAGCAGGGAUUGUUGCUAAGUUGUACAUUUUUGUUCGGUUUAUUGAGGAACAUUGUGCAUUUCUUCAAGUUUCUGCGGAGGACAUAUGUUGAAAUUAGUGUUAAGUGUUUAUGUUUCAAUAUAUAUUUGUGUUGCAUACUCACAGCGGAAACACUUGUUAGGGUUAGUAAAGAAUCUAAUGGGACAUUGCUCUAAAUACAGUUUAUCACAAUUUUAGCUAAGUGGCUGAUUUGUGACAGUGAUACAACUUCCAUAAUUCUUUUUUUUAUUAUUACCCAUAUCAGAUGUCAUAGGCUGAUUGUUGAAAGCACUAAAAUGAUAUUAAAAAAAGGCACACGAGACUCGCCUGGGCUCUCAUCGAGACCAACUCACUUCUCUCUCCUUAACGUCUUACUUCACUUCGAGUUGCUCUGUCCCGUAUCCCUAUGAAAAGAUGUAGUUUUCUUUUCUAGUGUUAUAACGUGGCUAAGCAGUUUCCCGGCUAUACCAUAGUUCUUUCAGAACCUAGCUGUAAAAGGGGUGCGUCUAACAGAAGUAAUGGAAAGUUUAAAGUACAAUCGGUAGAUAUGCUGCAAUUAAGCUUUUUGCAUAGAUUAAGCCAGCAGUAGUGACCGUGAAAUUUAUACUCUUUGGUGUGAGUUUUCAUGGAUUUUGACUCUCAAACCCAAUAGCGUGUUUGCUUCUUCUGUAGAUUUGUGUUUGGUGCUGGCAUCACAUAAUAAACAUGGCUGAGAAAGACAAUGUAGAAGGCAGGUGUCCAGCAUGUCGAACCCCUUAUAACAAGGAAAAAAUUGUGGAAAAGGCAGCUCAAUGUGAAAGGUUUUCAUCUAUGCAUAGCUUAUGUUGACGUCUGCAGAUAUUUUAUUGACAUAGUUAUGAUGACACAGAAUAUUUCUCAUUGAUAGGUUGUUGUCUGAGUUGAAUGUGGAGAAGAAAGGGAAGUCAAAGUCGAAAAGUAAAGCACCUGAUGGUAGAAAGAACCUAAGUAGUGUUCGAGUGAUUCAACGAAAUCUUGUCUACAUUGUGGGGUUACCUCUUACUUUGGCAGAUGAAGACGUGUGUAUAUCUCCUCUUUUCCUUGCUUCUUUUUGUCUAUACUUUUCCGAUCGUUUUUUUAUCACCUGUAUAUAUAUUGUUUUAUGCAGCUCCUACAAGGAGCGGAAUACUUUGCUCAAUAUGGGAAGGUGCUUAAAGUGUCAAUCUCUCGUACGGCAGCUGGGACCAUUCAACAAUUUCCAAAUAGCACUUGUAGUGUGUAAGUGUUUCUUUUGCUGAUUGAAAUGACUUUUAAGAUUGCAAGCAUAAUUAGGCCUACAUAUAGAAUUUUUUUUGUAUAAUUGUGUGUCUAAUAGAUUGCCUGAAUAUUAAGUCGCGUUCCUUAUUCUUGUAAAAAUUUGAAGCCAAGCAGCAGGUUUUUAGGUCUUAAUUUGGGCAAUGACCAUCUUGGAUAUGUGCGUUUAGGUUCUUAUAAUUGUCUGAAGUUAAUAAAGUUUUUAAAAGUCAUAUAUGAGAUGUAUAUUAACUCUUAGAUUAUCAACCUUUGUUUUUACAGAUAUAUUACUUAUUCAAAGGAGGAAGAAGCAGUUCGUUGCAUUCAGUCAGUGCAUGGUUACACAUUGGAGGGUAGACCAUUAAGGUCUGAUUCUGUUGGCUUUUGUGGAUUGCAGCAGUAAUUGUUAUCUGUUUGCUUAUUUACUAUUCUUGUGUUGCAGGGCCUGCUUUGGAACCACAAAAUAUUGCCAUGCAUGGCUGAGGAGUGUGGUAUGGUCCGCAAUUUAAUUAAUACUUAAAUUUGACAUUUUGAGUUUGUGAUUUUGUGCUGUUCUGAUCAUCAAACUUUGGUCCAGCCAUGCAUCAAUCCUGAUUGUCUAUACUUGCAUGAAAUUGGUACACAAGAAGAUAGUUUCACUAAAGAUGAAAUAAUAUCAGCAUACACAAGGUAUUGUAUAAUUGUCAUGUGCAUUCAAUGUAUUGUUUUAUCAAUCAUAUCUUUUGGAAGAAAUCAAUCUCCAUCUAGCCAAUAUGCAAAUUUGAUUGCUUUUCUGAAUAAUUGUCUACUUACAAUAAUAAAUUAGUAUCUGCACUUCCUCCAUCAGACGUGAGCAAACUAUAAACUCAGCAUUCGGUAUAAUAUAGAGGCGCUCAAACAGCUUUGGUAAUUUGUUUUUAUCAUCACAAAUACAAGAUAAUACAUUCUAUAAAUUGUCUUUUUGCAGCUAAUGUAUACAUGUUUAUAGAGUUGAAAUAUUGGAUAUGUGGUAGACAAAACUUAGAUUGCUUGAAAAUUGUUUUUAUCAGUUAUGCUUUUCUGUGCUGGAUUAGUGGUAACCCUCUGUUUUGAUAUGUAUGCUGACUUCAAAGAAUAAUACUUUGCCAUUGCAUAAUAUAGUAGUGCAACAUAAACAAUAUCUACUGUGAAAUGGUUACAUUCAACAAUAUAGUGGUGUUACUUACACAAUAUGACAAUUGAAUGAUAACUUCUAAUGCUUAAAUGUUUAGAAAUGAAUGAAGACCUGAAAUUACCACAAAGUUUGACUUAGAAAUUGCCUAUUACUUCAGCAAGGGUGUUUGGUUUAAUUUUGAAGUUUUUAUUUGGUUUUUUCCCAUUUUACACUUUCACUCGGUACAUAUUUGUGGCAUGUUUUAUUGAGUAGGCUUGCCUGAUCGAUCAUCUUUUGAUACAAUCAACUAUCUAUUUUCUGCCUAAUUAACUUACAAUGUUAUUUUGAAGAAAUAGAGUUCAACUGAGUGUGGGUGCCACAAUCGACACACAACGACGAUCUGGGAGUGUAUUACCACCACCAGCAGACGACUUCUGUAAUGACAGCUGCUCCUCAUCUGGAAUACAUCAUAAUAAAAGCUCAACGGAUGUAUGUUUUUGAGUACAAAUUAUUUGUUUUUGGGUCUUCUUCCUUUUAACAUAAAUCAGUGGAUUGCUCAAUCUCGUGUGUUUUUAAGCAUUGGUGUACAAGUAUGCUAUAGAGUAGCAAUUCUAAAGGAUACUGAAUUACAUACGUAAUUUUUCAUAAUAUAAUUAGUAAUUGAGGUUUAACUCAAAAACUUAUAUAUAUAGAGUAUAGACUGUGACCACGACACGUCUUUUUUGAUUUUUGAUAUGGUGCAGAACCUUGACAUCUCUUCUCAAAACAUAUUGGAGUCAUCUGUCUGGCAAACUCCGGCAAGCAGUGUGAGGGGCUCUCCACCAAAUAGUCACUCUAGUAAAUCUGUUGGUCUUCCUGCAGCAGCAUCUUGGUACAGAUUUGACUGUUUACCCNNNNNNNNNNNNNNNNNNNAUUUAUUAUAGAAUUUAAUAUAUACAAGUUUAAAUUCUUCUCAGGGGAGCGCGUGCUUCAAAUAGUCAACCAUCACCAACAAGCAUGGCAAGCUCAAAUGGACCUUCUAAGCAGAAAUCUGAUACAGGUGGCAUUUCAGUCGCAUUUUCAACUGCAGUAGUGAGCCCAGCCAAAGUCUCCUUAAUGCAUAAUACUUCAGGAAAGAAACUUAAUGGAGAAGGUUGGUUUCCCUUACAGAGGAAUAAAUCUGUUCCAGUAGCAUCUGUGGGAAUACAGGAUGUAGAUAAGCAACAAAAGUCAUCGAAUACUUCCACCAAGAUUGGACAUUUUGAUAAACUAGUGACAAGUGACCAGAUAUCUACGCCAUCGCCAAAAGUAGAUGGGUCCACAAGCAUGGCAGAUAUCACAGUGCAGUCUUGCAGUAUCAAUUCAGAAAGAAAUUCACAUCUACCUGUAGAGAGUAAAGUUAAGGAAUUAUGUUCUGAUAUGUUGUCUCUAAAUAUAAUUACUCAUGGGCCACAGCACGUAGACACAAAAUACAGAGAACUCUUGUCAACAGAUGCUGCAGCAAAGGAUGCAUCCUCCAGUAAGGAUCCUGUUGCAGCAAGGGAUCUGUCUGAAUUUAAAUUAGUGUCGCCGUCGCAAGUAGCAGAAAGUGAUACUUGUAAAGUUAAGGAUGAUAUCCAAUCUUUUAAUAUACAAAGACGCAGGGAUCCUGAAGUUACCAAUAGCACAGAUAGUAGUAUAGGUCGGUUAUCAGAUAGUUUUAGGGAUCUACAUUCUCAAGAGGCUUUCCGUAUACCCAGCACCAAUUUUGAUCUAAAUAAUGUAGAUAAUCAACCUAGCAAGUUUUCUGUUCCGCAAGCAUAUAAUGCCCCAGUUAUUUCGAAUGGUUAUGCUGGGAACCAGACUAGAAGUUUUGAUUUGGAUACCAGUGCUAAUGAUUCUUCUUAUAUGCUACAAGAUGAACUGAAAUUGCAUGAUGGAAGACAUGGCAGUGCGUUAGUAAACCACGAUAGUAUUUUAGCAGACGGAAUGGGAGAGAGCAGCAUCAUAUCAAAUAUUUUGUCAAUGGACUUCGAUUCAUGGGAUGAAUCUUUGGCUUCACCCCAGAAUUUGGUUAAGUUACUAGGUGAAACUGAUAAACAGCUGGGUUCUCUUGGUGCAUCGAAUACGAAGAAAGUACAAAACAGCAAUCAGUCUAGGUUCUCUUUUGCAAGAGAGGAACAUCAAGCAUCCAAUUUUGGGCCAUCAUCUGCUGGCGUUGAGCAAACUCUCAGGAAUCAUUCUCUUACGAAUGGUUUCAAGGACAAUGGAAACCAUUAUCACAGUGGUACUGCCAAUGGUUAUUCUACUUUGAGUGCGCAUCAACCUGGUGAUUUUGCAAGCACCCAUUUUCAUAAUUCACCGAACAGGUUUUCUGGUGAGUUCAGAGUUGCAGGUUUUUUUUACAGAUAGUGUCUAUUGAUAUAUAUUUUAUUAUUUUCUGCAAGUCUGGCAUUUUAUUGAUAGAUUGCUUGUGGAGAAUAAAUACUAAAUUUGUUGUUAAAUAUGCUCAUCAUUUGCCUUUAGUUUUGUAUCCUUUUACUCCGUAUAUGCAUUCAUGUACAUUAAAACUUUUGGCGAUUUACUCUUUAGCUAGUUCUGUAAUCGACUUAGUUGUGUGAGAACUGACAUGGGUUUUGUGCUUUUGGCUGAAAAUUGAGCAAAUCAUUGUUCUUGGAUCUGCUUUGACAUGCAUUGAUUUCCGUGAUAAAUCUGUUUUAGUAUCUUUACAAUUUUUACAUAACAGUAUAACUAAUGUAUAUGUUUAAGUGCUUUUGUUGAUAUUCUCCUUCUGCUUUUAAAAAUUGUGACUGAGAUGAUUUUUUUUCUGAUAUGAUUUAUUGUACUUUGAUGUCAAAAUAGUUUCUAGAGCACCUGUAACAGCCCCUCCUGGAUUUUCCGGGCCUACCAGAGCUCCACCUCCAGGCUUUUCCUCUUUUGAAAGGAUGGAACAGACAUUUGACGUAAACUCUGGUUUGUAUUUUACACUUCACAUUGAAUGAUUUGUUUCAAGCACAUCUCACAUCUCUGAACUUACGAUUUUAUUGCCUGAUUUCUUGUAGGGAAUCAUUUGCUCAACAAUUCAUCUUACUUGAGAAAUGCUAGUCAGUCACCUUCUAGAAUGUAUAAUGAUUCCACCAAUUCAGAUAUAGAGUUUAUUGAUCCUGCAAUAUUGGCAGUAGGUAAAGGCAGACUUCCUAAUGGGUUUAAUAACCCUAGUUUAGACAUGAGGUCAACUUAUCCUACCCAGAUGAGUAAUUAUGAGAAUGAGGCAAGAUUGCAGCUAAUGAUGCAAAGAUCUGUUUCACCACAGCAGAACCCCAGAUAUGUCGAAAUGGGUAACAGUUUUUCUUCUUAUCCGGAUAAUUAUGGAAUGCCUCCAACGAUUUUUGAGCAGGCUUUGGCAAACAAUGGAUCCCAGUAUUCUCAAUUUGGUCUUUCACAGUCCAGAAAUCAACUUGUGUCGAGCGGUAGUUGGGAUGGUUGGAAAGAGGUUCAGAGUGGAAAUGGCUCAACUGCGGCAGAGUUUCUUAGAUCGGAGAGAUUGGGAGGAAAUCAGUACUUUAGUGGUCGCCAGGAUUCGAAGUACCGG